rnacentral:rRNA from 1 species
GAUUAACGCUGGCGGCGUGCAUAACACAUGCAAGUCGAACGAUGAAACUUAAAUGAUUUCUUCGGAAUGAACUUAAGUGGAUUAGUGGCGGACGGGUGAGUAACGCUUGAGUAACCUGCCUUACACAAGGGGAUAGCCGUUGGAAACGACGAAUAAUACCCUAUGAAACUAUCACUUCGCAUGAAGCGAUAGUCAAAGUGUUAGCGGUGUAAGAUGGACUUGCGUCUGAUUAGCUAGUUGGUGAGAAAAAAGCCCACCAAGGCAACGAUCAGUAGCCGGCUUGAGAGAGUGUACGGCCCCAUUGGGACUGAGACACGGCCCAGACUCCUACGGGAGGCAGCAGUGGGGAAUUUUGCACAAUGGGGGAAACCCUGAUGCAGCGACGCCGCGUGAUUUAGAAGGACUUCGGGUUGUAAAAAUCUUUUGUAUAGGAAGAAAAUGACAGUACUAUACGAAUAAGGUCCGGCUAAUUACGUG